CAGAGGCCGCGACGUACAGUUAUCUGACCGACUCCUUUCUUCUUCUCGCGAGAAUAUUUCCCCUUCCGUCUCGGCUCGUGCCACGUGCACACCGGCUAAAUCUACUGGAAACCUUCGCACGCGCGACGUACCGCACCAGGCUUUUCCACUUGGUCGUUUUGUUUUACAUAAACGCAUCGAUAUACUGUCGAGGAAAAUAGGUAACAAACUUUCUUCGCUUUGUUCAUGAGACGCGCAUUUCCUUCAUGAAGAAUCGAUGAGCAUGAUCGUUGUCGAUCAUUGAGCAACAGCAUGGCCCCCUUGGCAGCGACUGCGAAACGGACCCAGUUGGCCUGAGGCCAGAUCGUCGGAGAAAGAAGGGCGACACGAAGUCGACCAGCUGACCCAAUGCACCUGGACGAGGAUGACCUCGAACCAUGAGAGUACGUCGAUCUCGAUCGAUGGACUACCAAGAAGUGGCC
rnacentral:misc_RNA from 1 species